UGAGAGUCAGAGCGGAUGACGGGAGCUUGCUCCUUGAUUCAGCGGCGGACGGGUGAGUAAUGCCUAGGAAUCUGCCUGGUAGUGGGGGACAACGUUUCGAAAGGAACGCUAAUACCGCAUACGUCCUACGGGAGAAAGCAGGGGACCUUCGGGCCUUGCGCUAUCAGAUGAGCCUAGGUCGGAUUAGCUAGUUGGUGGGGUAAUGGCUCACCAAGGCGACGAUCCGUAACUGGUCUGAGAGGAUGAUCAGUCACACUGGAACUGAGACACGGUCCAGACUCCUACGGGAGGCAGCAGUGGGGAAUAUUGGACAAUGGGCGAAAGCCUGAUCCAGCCAUGCCGCGUGUGUGAAGAAGGUCUUCGGAUUGUAAAGCACUUUAAGUUGGGAGGAAGGGCAGUAAGCUAAUACCUUGCUGUUUUGACGUUACCGACAGAAUAAGCACCGGCUAACUCUGUGCCAGCAGCCGCGGUAAUACAGAGGGUGCAAGCGUUAAUCGGAAUUACUGGGCGUAAAGCGCGCGUAGGUGGUUUGUUAAGUUGGAUGUGAAAGCCCCGGGCUCAACCUGGGAACUGCAUCCAAAACUGGCAAGCUAUAGUACGGUAGAGGGUGGUGGAAU
rnacentral:rRNA from 1 species